UGAAAAACGACCUCCAAGCAAAUGUCCUCAAGCAGUGUGUGGCUCUCAACACGCAGGAGGCGGGGAAAGCUAUCUCCCUUGGAGGAAGGAAAGACAUCCACAUUUUCUCAAACUGGAAAACUAAAUGACGUGCAAAGGCCGUUGACAGGGCGCUGGUUACAGAAAUGAGAGUGGAGCCAGAAGCGGACUCUGACUGACACACGGAAGGACUGUAGCCUGCACGGAUCCUC